AGAGUUUGAUCCUGGCUCAGGACGAACGCUGGCGGUGUGCUUCACACAUGCAAGUCGAACGGAGUAGCAAUACUCAGUGGCGGACGGGUGAGUAACACGUGGGAAUCUACCAUUAGGUGGGGAAUAACAGGCCGAAAGGACUGCUAAUGCCGCAUAUGUAGACAUCUCGACAGAGAUGUUUAUGAAAGGAGUAAUCCGCCUUUUGAUGAGCCCGCGUCCGAUUAGCUAGUUGGUAGGGUAAAAGCCUACCAAGGCGACGAUCGGUAGGUGGUCUGAGAGGAUGAUCACCCACAAUGGGACUGAGACACGGCCCAUACUCCUACGGGAGGCAGCAGUGGGGAAUUUUACGCAAUGGGGGAAACCCUGACGUAGCGACACCGCGUGAGCGAAGAAGCCCUUUGGGGUGUAAAGCUCUGUCAACAGGAACGAAACAAAUGACGGUACCUGUGGAGGAAGCAUCGGCUAACUACGUGCCAGCAGCCGCGGUAAGACGUAGGAUGCAAGCGUUGUCCGGAUUUAUUGGGCGUAAAGAGUUCGUAGGCGGUUUGUUAAGUCUGAUGUUAAAGACCGGGGCUCAACCUCGGAAAUGCAUUGGAUACUGGCAGACUGGAGUGCAGUAGAGGCUAGUGGAAUUCCCAGUGUAGCGGUGAAAUGCGUAGA
rnacentral:rRNA from 1 species